rnacentral:rRNA from 1 species
CCUACGGUGGGCAGCAGUGAGGAAUCUUGGUCAAUGGGCGCGAGCCUGAACCAGCCAAGUAGCGUGAAGGAUGACUGCCCUACGGGUUGUAAACUUCUUUUAUAAAGGAAUAAAGUGAGGCACGUAUGCCUUUUUGUAUGUACUUUAUGACUCAGGAUCGGCUCACUCCGUGACAGCAGCCGCGGUAAUACGGAGGAUCCGAGCGUUAUCCGGAUUUAUUGGGUUUAAAGGGAGCGUAGAUGGGUUGUUAAGUCAGUUGUGAAAGUUUGCGGCUCAACCCGGGCCUUGCAGCGCGAACUGGCGUGCUUGAGUCCGCGGAAAGCAGGCGGAAUUCGUCGUGUAGCGGUGAAAUGCUUAGAUAUGACGAAGAACCCCGAUUGCGAAGGCAGCUUGCUGCAGCGGAACUGACGCUGAUGCUCGAAAGCGCGGGUAUCGAACAGGAUUAGAUACCCCUGUAGUC